UAAAGGUGCCUAGGCUGAGCUGAGCUGCAACCUUCAAUAAUACUACAUUUGAUGCCAAUGUGUCUGUCUGUUUCUUCUUUGACAGGAAACCCUUUGGAAUAAGAAAUCUGGGAUUAAGAAAGAACACAUAUUGCCAUGAUAUACUUUACAGUAGGAACUAGUAAGUUGAUUUGUUUGGAUUCUGACAAUGAGUCUGGGGAUGGUAGUGAGUUUUUUGCCCCAAAAAAGAAUGACAACAUUGGUUUCGCUGUUGAAAUGGAACGUGGAUCAAAAUUGAGCACUGGAUUUAUUCAGUCCACAUGUUUUCUUGGUAAGCUACUGUUCUGUUAAAUUUUUAUGUGCAAUCCUAUCAGAAACAGAAUGAGAAAACCAUAGUCACAUAAUCAUCUCUGUUGAGAAGCAGUGGAAUUUCUAUUAUUAAGCUUCAGAAUUGAGAUUACACAAGGCCACAACAUAUUUAGUCAUUCAAAUGAGACACAAGAGUAAAUGCUUGGGCUGCUCAAGGUAACUACUACUGACAUACAAGACUUAGGAAAAGACAAGACAAAAUACACUAACAAUAUCAAUGAAGCAAUUAAUGAAAAGUAAAUAUUUUGCAUGACAUUGUUGGAACAACUCUAAUUGUUUUGGAGGGAGAUAAAAUGAUGUUAAUAUUGUGAUAGGCUGAUAGCAGAAGUUCAGAAUUCAGAUAGCUUUGUUAUAACCUGUGGCAAUCACCCUUUAUUAUACUGUCUAUAUGCACAAGAACUCUUUGUUAAAUUAAAGUGUGUUGAAGACCUAGCUAGGGCCACCAUAAAGACAUUGACUCAGGGAAUGGCUGAACAAAACAAAGAACUAGCUGCAGCUAAAAUUGAUGAAGAGAAAGCCAAGAUUGUGAGUCUGUUCUGAAAGCUUUUGGUAUUUCUUUUUAGUCACGUUAUAGUAUAUGUUGGAGAGUAAAGUAUGUUUUCAAGACAUUAUUAUUUUUCCUAAAUAUUAUGAUCAGAAAUUGGUUGUGUUUCUAACAGUA